rfam:Treponema bryantii strain B25 genome assembly, contig: Ga0070255_119
GCCGACUUAGCUCACCGGGUAGAGCAGCGCACUCGUAACGCGCAGGUAAACAGUUCGAGUCUGUUAGUCGGCU